rnacentral:lncRNA from 1 species
GAUACGCCGAAGGGCGGUACCGUGCCUUGAUCAUGUGCGCGUGGGCCCGCUGGCAGUGUCGCAGCAACGCACGCCGUGAUUGCGGCGUCGUAGUCGUGGAAUUUGGCCUCGGCCCCUCGGAGAGCCAUGUGGAGCAGGGCCGAGUCUAGGUGACCGUUGAGGAGGUGCGGGGAUUUUAAAUUUGAAUUUGGCGGGAGAGGGCGCAGGGAUUAUUGAAUGGGGCGGAGAAAAGUUUUGGUUAUUUUUUUCAUUUUAUAAUGUGAGAGGUAAAGUAAAAAAAAUUUGAACGGGAGAUGCAGAGAUGAAUGGAUUUCAAAUAUUUUUUUUUUUCCUUUUUCAAUUUUAGUCCUUUUAAAUUUUUUUUAACAAAUUUUUUUAAUAAAUUUAUAUUUGCAGAAAUAACUCUCUUUCUAUUGCAGAGUACUGUAUUGGACAUAGGAGAGCCAUGUAGGCAUUUAGUAAGUUGAAUACGGCGCGCAAGUCAAUAUGUUUAAACACAGUGACUAGAUUAUUACUUUUAAGUCACCAUAUUUAAACACUGAUUAGAUUAUCAUACUUAACUCAGCAUUGUUCUUUCCCAUCCAACAUUACAUUCGCAUGGUAGAAGGGUCAUAUCUAUAAAUAUAAAUUUGUUAGCAUCAUUUUCUAAAAAUAAUUAAAACCUCUAAAUAAAGUUAUCCAAAAUACCCGAUAUUCCAUAUCCUAUUCGAGCCCUAUCUGAACCCUAUUUGAACCUUAUUCGGGCCAGAAUCAGACCCGAUAAAAAAUAAAUAGCACAUGGGUUAAAAAAAAAUUGCCCAUUAAAGUUUCGGGUAUGGGUCCAAUUACUUUAUAUCCAAAACCGACUUGAACCCGCCCCGAACCCGGACCCAGACCCGGUGAAGUACAUGAUAGUAAAUAAAAAGAAUUUGAAGUUGAGAGAUCAAUUUCAAUAGAACUUAUAACUGAAAGGUCUAUGGUAUUUUCAUCCUAAUAAAAAUUCUAGUCACUCUAUUUAUUCUUUUUUUAUUUUACUCGUUGUUUUUUUAACUCUAGUCGCUUUGUUUACUGCAUGAAUCUUUUUUUUAAACGAAUUUUAUUAGACUGAGUGCAAAAAAUUAGAAUGCAGAUCCAAUCUGUACCCGAUCCAUACUCGAUCUUAAGUGAAUAGUAUACAGAUAGUCGCUAUUCAGAUCCGCUCAAAUAGACCCUAUGUGUAUAUAAUAUUAUUAACUUAAAUAUUUAGACCUGAAC